ensembl:lncRNA
GUGGGAUUCUCAAAGACAAAACACGUGGUCUUCGGGUUAAAUGGGGGAUUUUCAAAGAAAAAAUGUAUGAUUUUUGCUUAAAAGGGGGAUUCUCGAGGAGAAAGCGCGUGAUUUUUGGCUUAAAUGGGGAAUUCUCGAAGAGAAAACGCGUGAUUUUCGGGUAAAAUGGGGGAUUUGCGAAGAGACAACGCGUGAUUUUUGGUUUAAAUGGGUGAUUCUCGAAGAGAAAAGGCGUGAUUUUUGCUUAAAUGGGGGAUUCUCGAAGAGAAAACACACGGUUUUCGCUUAAAUGUGGGAUUCUCAAAGACAAAACACGUGGUCUUCGGGUUAAAUGGGGGAUUUUCAAAGAAAAAAAUUAUGAUUUUCGCUUAAAAGGGGGAUUCUCGAAGAGAAAGCGUGUGAUUUUUGCUUAAAUGGGGGAUUCUCGAAGAGAAAACACGUGAUUUUCUGGUAAAAUGAGGGAUUUGCGAAGAGACAACGCGUGAUUUUUGGCUUAAAUGGGGGAUUCUCGAAGAUAAAUUGCAUGAUUUUCAGCUAAGAUGGGGGAUUCUCGAAGAGAAAGCGUGUGAUUUUCGGGUUAAAUGGGGGUUUUCCAUAGAGAAAACAUGGCAUUUUUGCAUAAACGGGGGGUUUCCGAAGAGGAAACGCGUGAUUUUUGGGUUAAGUGGGGGAUUCUCAAAAGGAAAUGCAUGAUUUUUGGGUUGAGUGGGGGAUUCUCAAAAAGAAAGCGCGUGAUUUUCGUGUUAAAUGGGGGGCUCCGAAAAAGAAAAUGCAUGAUUUUCGCUUAAAUGCGGGAUUCUCGAAGAGAAAGCGCGUGAUUUUUGCUUAAAUCGGAGAUGUUAGAAGAAAAAAUGUGUGAUUUUCGCUUAAAUGGGGGAUUCUCGAAAAGAAAGAGCGUGAUUUUUGCUUAAAUGGGGGAUUCUCUUAGAGAAAACACAUGAUUUUUGCUUAAAUGGGGGAUUUGCGAAGAGAAAACGCGUGAUUUUUGCUUAAAUGGGGGAUUCUCGAAGAGAAAACACACGGUUUUCGCUUAAAUGUGGGAUUCUCAAAGACAAAACACGUGGUCUUCGGGUUAAAUGGGGGAUUUUCAAAGAAAAAAUGUAUGAUUUUUGCUUAAAAGGGGGAUUCUCGAAGAGAAAGCGCGUGAUUUUUGGCUUAAAUGGGGGAUUCUCGAAGAGAAAACGCGUGAUUUUCGGGUUAAAUGGGGGAUUUGCGAAGAGAAAACGCGUGAUGUUCAGAUUAAAUGGGGGAUCCUCGAUGAGAAAACACAUGAUUUUCGGUUAAAUGGGGGAUUCUUGUAGAAAAAAUGCGUGAUUAUCCGGUUAAAUUGCAAAUGCUCUAAGAUCGAGCUCGUGAUUUUCGGGUUAAAUGGGGGAUUCUCGAAGAGAAAACGUGUGACUUUUGGGUUAAACGAAGGAUUCUCGAUGAGAAAACUCAUGAUUUUCGGAUUAAAGGUGGGAUUCAUGAAGAGAAAAUGCGUGAUUUUCAG